UUGAGGUGGGAUGGGGUCAGGAAACUGCCAUUUUUUCAUCAUAAGCCUUGUAGUUCUGUUUGUCCUUAAAAAAUGUGUACCUGUUACUAACUUCAUUGAAAAUAAAACUUAAAAGCAGAAACAAAACAGAGGAUCAAAGAGUUGAAAUCACUUCCCCAAGGUCACACAUGAUGCAGAGCUGAGCCAGAGUUCAAACUUGAGAUGGUGCUGAGCCCCACGGGCCCCCGGGCCUGCUGCUGAGGAUGGGUAUGUGGUCAGGGCGACCCGACUCAUGCUUAAGACUGGUUCUUUUCACUAUCAGAUGGUGCUGAAGUUUGAGCCUAACAGAGAAUGUUAAUAAGUCCUUAAUGAACUUUUUCACGUGUCUGACCUUGCAGGGAGGGCAGGGGAGGUUCAACGUCCACCAAGCAGCCCCAGCUCAUGCUGGCAAAUCAGCAGCGUUCUCCCAAAGCAGGCUGGGCUGUUUUGCAAGCACACGAAUGGGCUGAUCUCCCAGGGCGGCCACAGAUGUGUCCGUUAGAGGGCUGGGUUUGAACUCAAGGCUCCGCAUCUGGGGUUCCUCAGGGCAGUGGUGGGGUCAGAGCUGAGCCACUGGAGUCCGGGGAAGCAAGGCCUGUUCUUGAUCACAUGACGGGGGGUGGGGCUGUGGACCCCGGAGGCGGCGGCGAGAGCCAAAUUUCCCCCGGGCCUUGAUCUGGGAAUUGGCCCGGGUGCGCGGAGCUGGGGAGGGCAGCUGCAGCAGAGGAGAGACUGGGGCUGGAGAAGGCGGAGGGGGAGCGGGGGGGUAGGAGUGGCUAGGCCCGGGGAGCAGGACUGGCUAGGCCCGGGGCGCAGGCUGGGCCAAAGCCCGGGGCAAGGUAGGGUGCGGCAGAAGGCCAGGAUGGCCGCAGGGCUCGGGUCCCCAGGGCUUCGGGGCCCAGCGAGGAUUUGUGUCUUUAUCCCCCAAAAAAGCCACUGACGAGUCUGGAAAGCUUGCUCCGCCGCUAAGUGAGGAAGAAAAGGCGGGAGCUGCAGCUCCAAGGUGCGGGGGUCUGAAGCCUAGGGGCGCAGCGAGGAGGCGGAGCUAACAGCUGCGUCGCCCCCCCCCCACAGCCCCGCCCGGCCGGAGACGCGCAGCGC
ensembl:lncRNA